rnacentral:rRNA from 1 species
GUAGUCAUAUGCUUGUCUCAAAGAUUAAGCCAUGCAUGUCUAAGUAUAAGCAAUCUAUACGGUGAAACUGCGAAUGGCUCAUUAAAUCAGUUAUCGUUUAUUUGAUAGUACCUUACUACUUGGAUAACCGUGGUAAUUCUAGAGCUAAUACAUGCUAAAAACCCCAACUUCGGAAGGGGUGUAUUUAUUAGAUAAAAAACCAACGCCCUUCGGGGCUCCUUGGUGAUUCAUAAUAACUAAACGAAUCGCAUGGCCUUGCGCCGGCGAUGGUUCAUUCAAAUUUCUGCCCUAUCAACUUUCGAUGGUAGGAUAGUGGCCUACCAUGGUAUCAACGGGUAACGGGGAAUUAGGGUUCUAUUCCGGAGAGGGAGCCUGAGAAACGGCUACCACAUCCAAGGAAGGCAGCAGGCGCGCAAAUUACCCAAUCCCGACACGGGGAGGUAGUGACAAUAAAUACUGAUACAGGGCUCUUACGGGUCUUGUAAUUGGAAUGAGUACAAUUUAAAUCCCUUAACGAGGAACAAUUGGAGGGCAAGUCUGGUGCCAGCAGCCGCGGUAAUUCCAGCUCCAAUAGCGUAUAUUAAAGUUGUUGCAGUUAAAAAGCUCGUAGUUGAACCUUGGGCCUGGCUGGCCGGUCCGCCUCACCGCGUGCACUGGUCCGGCCGGGCCUUUCCUUCUGGGGAUCCGCAUGCCCUUUACUGGGUGUGCUGGGGAACCAGGACUUUUACUUUGAAAAAAUUAGAGUGUUCAAAGCAGGCCUUUGCUCGAAUACAUUAGCAUGGAAUAAUAGAAUAGGACGUGCGGUUCUAUUUUGUUGGUUUCUAGGACCGCCGUAAUGAUUAAUAGGGAUAGUCGGGGGCAUCAGUAUUCAAUUGUCAGAGGUGAAAUUCUUGGAUUUAUUGAAGACUAACUACUGCGAAAGCAUUUGCCAAGGAUGUUUUCAUUAAUCAGUGAACGAAAGUUAGGGGAUCGAAGACGAUCAGAUACCGUCGUAGUCUUAACCAUAAACUAUGCCGACUAGGGAUCGGGCGAUGUUACUAUUCUGACUCGCUCGGCACCUUACGAGAAAUCAAAGUCUUGGUUCUGGGGAGUUGC